AUUUCCAAAAUAACUGGUGUGAAAUACAUGGCAUCUAAAUGAUGUUGCAUAUCCCUCACCAAAGAGCAUUUUGGAUGGUCUCUUGAAAUGUUUUCCCUGAACAAAUUAAAGAUUGUUAUUUCAGUUUUGUGUUUUGUUCCCCAAAUGAGCUUAAUCCCAUAGUAAUACUGGUUGCAAACAGUUCAGAUAUUAAUUGCCAUGGCUUCCCGAGCCUUUCCUGACAUCUUCCUUAGGAAAUGGCAUUCUCAGGAAAAAAGUAGAAAGGUUUCCUUUUACAACUGUGAGAAAUUAAGUACAUGGCACUGAUAUGUGGUGGGAAGUGACAGAGGCUGAUACCCUGACUAAACAUGUUUAAUUAGUUGCUAUUGCUGCAAGUUUUAUCCUCACAAGGCUUUGACACCCACUGACAUGCCUGGGCCAGGAGGGCCAGCUCAAGGCAGCCCAGAGCUGCCAGCAUUUUCUUACCACUUGUGUUAACUCUGGCUGGUUUUCAAUGAUAGGGGUCAGAAGGAAAAAAAGCUUCUCCAAUAUUCUACUGUCACAGCUGGUGUGAUAAGGGAACUGGGGGAUAGCCGUGGUGGCUGAGAUGUUCUGCUAGAGUGAGAAACAAGGCAAACCUCCAAACUCCAGGCAGGCACCUGUUAGUUAAGCAGUUCAUGACAAUCUAAAUGAUAACAACUGAAAAAGCAAGCACUUAACAGAUUAGUCAAGUGACAAUAUCAAGACUCCAGUGCUGUACUUUGGUCUCCAAUGGCUUUAGUCUUUGAUGUUUCUUAAUCUCUAAGGUCUAAACUGCUGGGCUCAAGCCUUCUUUGAUAAGAAAGACCCUCACCUUGCUCCUUGCCUUCGCUCCUCCCCGGGUUGUGCUAUCACUGGUGCGUUUAUGUCCUUUUGUUAGAGAAAACCAAUCUGGUCCAAGGGCUCACAACCUCUUUCCGCAGGCCCUCACUGCUCCAGGAUGUCCAGACAGGUGGUGCCCCUGGUGCAGGUCCACUCUGGUGUGACCUGGAUGACCAUCAGAUGUGAUUCCUGCUAAUAGCUACCUACUGGAAUAGCCAGCAGAAUUAAAUAAACUCAUGGCUUGUUUGCAACUGUGCAAAAUGAGUGCAUAUUAUGCAAUGUUUCACUUUCCACCAUGAAUCGAGCAGCUCUGUGGGAUGUCUGGUUUGCAAGGCAAGCAGGCUGCUUUCCACUGGGAGCUACAGUGGUAGUCCAGCCACUCUCCUGGCUGGAACUCUCAAAGGAGCCUCCUGAUUUUCGUCCUCUAUCCAACAAAAAAUUACUGUGGACAGAGUUUUCAAACUCUGUCAUCCAGAGUGCAAGUGUGAACUCUGGUAUAGACCUGAGGACAUCUAAGGUGAAGGUUGGGGUCUGACCCCCAAAGGAAGAGGAGCAAAAGCACAAGCCAGCACAGGGAGGUGCAGUGGGCACCUGAGGAGCACAGGCUGACACACACUCACUCACUAACAGCACUGUCUGGAGCUGCUUUCAGCAGCUUUUAUUAUGUUUCACACUGUAUCUUUGAUCCAAAUGUAUUUUUCUUCGGCAAAAAGCUGUUUAUACCUCCCCUAGCACACAUGCAGGAGGUGUAUUACUCUUUUCUGCAGAUGAUUUAGACAAUUCUCUCCCCUGGCUGCUCUUGAUGCUGCUGGUUCACUUAGACGCUUCAUCUCCCACACACUGUCUCUAAAUUAUUUGUAUUUUUCAGUGUGCCCCGGAAACCUUGCUAAAUCUGUCUUUCAGAUCAGGAAUUCAGUUCCACCCAGAAGCUGAAAAUAUUUGACAACUUUCAGUGUUUUUUCCUUUUCUCUAGAACUUAAAAAUACAGAACCCUGUGAAAAUGAAUGAGAAGCCCUGCUUAUGUAAAGCUGGUAGAGCUUUGCUGCACAUUCAGAUUGUAUUUGAGGCAAAGCUUAACAGAUGAGGUUUUAUAAUUCUUCAUCCCUCCUUCUCUUCCUUGUUUCCCUGUAAUGGAUUUUGAUUUAUUUGGUGAUGGGAUCAGACUUCUCUCCUCUGUAUCAUCAGGAGCCUUCACAAGUUUUCUGCUAAGGGAAGGGAUGGUGAGAUUUGCAUUAUGGUUUUUUGUUAUUUUCCUUCCCCUGCAACUGAGAUUUGAGAAACCCUGCAUGUGAGUAUCUGUCUGUGUAAGCAAAGUAGCAAUGAUCACUUCGAUCAGCUCUGGUACCAGCACUGCCAGCCCUUCUCCCACCGCACACAGGAGCACAUGCCAUAAAUAUGGAGUGACUGCAGCCAGCCAUCUGCAAGAGAACCAACAUUCAGCUGCGAUAAGCAGGAACCCCACUUGCUGCCGCAGAGAAGAAGCUGAAGCUGACCACCACCAGAAGCUGACCUCCUUAUCUUGAUUUUCAUAUGUAAUGAGUAGCUAAAUCUAACACCAAAUGAUUUUAGGAAGAAAAUUCAAAGGCAAGCCAUUUCCUUUGAAAAAGCCAUUUGAAACCUUUGGGGAACAGAUAUGGAAACAUAAUUUAAAACUCAUUUUCCCCCUCAAGUGAUUGGGAUUCAUUUCCAUAAAUACAGUGUUUACUAUGCACAGAGCAUCUCUUCCUCUCUCACCACAAGCCCUGGACACUUUGGACUACUCUUUCGUUCUGUGCUUCCUGUAGAAGUGCUCCCUCAUUCUGCUUGUGUAAUUCAGGUUUGUUUUUAUCUGCAAGAAGAUGCCUCUUCAGUUACUGAGACUGCGCCUGCUGUAGCUGUGGAGAAGUGCCUGGCCUCAGUUGUGCCGCAGUGAAGCAGCACCGCAGUCCCACCUCAAGCCAUGCCAGGGACGUGCGAUCCCAGCUUUGCUCGUGGGCACCUCCACUCAUGACACUCAAGGACUGGGGAGAAGCUGUGCUGUCUGGCACUAUCUCUAUUGGAAAGCACCGUUUGCAUUUGUAAUGCAAAGCAGACAUGAUUUCAGAACCUGAUCUCUCUGACAACAAAGGCUGUAGAAGAUUAGAAAUACUUAGAUUUGAAGUUCAUUAAAAAAUGUAUUUCCCUCUGUAAAAGGAAUUGGUUUUCUUAACUCAUUUGCCUUGCUUUUCUCUUGAAUGUGUAUUUCCGUUUGUGCCUUCAGUGUAUUCUGGUACUUUUAUGAACUGUGGAUGGGUUUUUUUCCACCAAUUAGUUCCUCUGGGACUAUUUUAUUAAAGUCUUUUUGGCAUUUAAAA